ACAGCUAUUUGGCCUUUUGGCUAAGAUUAAGUGUAGUACCUGCUCUUAUCAGCUUAAUAUCUGAUACGUCCCCCAUGGAGGGGACCGCAUUUUUUGAAACAGGGUGCUGGAAGAGGGGCUUUCCCCAUCCGCUCCAUGCAGUGCCUCUGGGAUUGGCGCACCUUUAAGGAAUUCCCCCCCAGGGAUCAAUAAAGUACAU
rnacentral:snRNA from 1 species